UACGGUGAAUACGUUCCCGGACCUUGUACGACUACCGCCCGUCAAGCCAUGGAAGCCGGGUGUACCUAAAGUCGAUAACCGUAAGGAGUCGCCUAGGGUAAACUGGUGACUGGGGCU
rnacentral:rRNA from 1 species